rnacentral:rRNA from 1 species
GGUUUUUAACUUAGGUUUGGGUGGCGGACGGGUGAGUAACGCGUAAAGAACUUGCCUCACAGCUAGGGACAACAUUUGGAAACGAAUGCUAAUACCUAAUAUUAUGAUAAUAGGGCAUCCUAUAAUUAUGAAAGCUAUAAGCGCUGUGAGAGAGCUUUGCGUCCCAUUAGCUAGUUGGAGAGGUAACGGCUCACCAAGGCGAUGAUGGGUAGCCGGCCUGAGAGGGUGAUCGGCCACAAG